rnacentral:rRNA from 1 species
GACGAACCGUGCGAACGUUGUUCGGAAUCACUGGGCUUAAAGGGCGCGUAGGCGGGCUGACAAGUCUGGGGUGAAAUCCCACGGCUCAACCGUGGAACUGCCUUAGAUACUGUCGGCCUCGAGGAAGGUGAGGGGCAGUGCGGGAACUGUAGGUGGAGCGGUGAAAAUGCGUUGAUAUCUACAGGAACUCCGGUGGCGGAAAGCGGCGUGCUGGACCUUUUCUGACGCUGAGGCGCGGAAAG